CGGGAAUGGUGAGGGGAACGGGAAUGGUGAGGGGAACGGUAAGGGGAAUGGGAAUUGGGAACGGGAAUGGUGAGGGGAACGGGGAUUGGGAACGGGGAUUGGGAACGGGAAUGGGGACUGUGAGGGGAAUGGGAAUGGGGAACAGGAAUGGUGAGGGCAAUGGGAAUUGGAAAUGGGAAUGGUGAGGGGAAUGGGAAUUGUGAGGGGAACGGUGAGGGGAAUGGCGACUGUGAGGGGAAUGGGAAUUGUGAGGGGAAUUGUGAGGGGAAUGGAAAUUGUGAUGGGAAUUGUGAAGGGAAAUGUAAGGGGAACUGUGAGGGGAAAUGAGAAAUGUGAGGGGAAAUGUGAGGGGAAAUUGUGAGGGGAAUUGUGAAGGGAAAUGUGAGGGGAGUGGAAAUUGUGAUGGGAAUGGUGAGGGGAAAUGUGAGGGAGAAUGGGGAUUGUGAGGGGAAAUGGAGAUUGUGAGGAGAAAUGUGAGGGGAAUUGUGAGGGGAAUUGUGAGGGGAAAUGUGAGGGGAGUGGAAAUUGUGAUGGGAAUGGUGAGGAGAAAUGUGAGGGGAAAUGUGAGGGGAAAUGGGGAUUAUGAGGGGAAAUGUGAGGGGAAAUGUGAGGGGAAAUGUGAGGGGAAUUGUGAGGGGGAAUGGGAAUUCGGAGGGGAAAUGGGGAUUGUGAGGGGAAUGGGAAUUGUGAGGGGAUAUUGUGAGGGAAAAUGAGAAUUCUGAGGGAAAAUGGGAAUUCAGAUCAGAUAUUCAGGGGGAAAAUGGGAGUUCUGAGGGUGGAAUGGGAAUUCUGAGGGAAAAUGGGAAUUCAGAGGGAAAAUGGGAAUUCUGAGGGAAAAUGGGAGGCCUGAGGCCGAAUUCUGAGGGAAAAUAGGAGAUUUCAGCAGGAAUUCUGAGGGAAAAUUGGAUUUCUGAGGGAAAGUAAGAAAUCUAAGCUGGAAUCGUGAGGAAAAAUGGGAAAUCUGGGGGAAAAUUCAGAGGGAAAAUGGGAAUUCUGAGGGAAAAUGGAAGGCCUGAGGUGGAAUUCUGAGGGAAAAUAGGAGAUUUCAGCAGGAAUUCCGAGGGAAAAUUGGAUUUCUGAGGGAAAGUAGGAAAUCUGAGCAGGAAUUCAAAGGGAAAAUAAAAUCCCCCAGGCAAAAUCA
rnacentral:lncRNA from 1 species